AUAUGAGAAAAUUUGUUAUCUUUUUGUUUGAUGAAGUUUCUUUAUAUCAGUCAAAAUUUGCACAACAGAAAAAUGAAGCCAGCUAUAGCUUCUUGGUUCUAUUUCAAAACCAAAGAAUAAAAAAUUUAUGAUGCUGUUCUGGAAUCAGCCCUAAGCAUACAUUCUUGGACUUGUUUUAAAAGAAUUCUUUAUUCCAAAAAUAACUCCAUAUUACAAUAUUUUUGAUUCAGUGCGUGCUGCCCAUAUUAAGAGUUUAAACAGCUUUCAAAAGCUUAAUCUGUGCUUAUAUCCUUUAUUUCAGGAAAGUAUUGUGCGGCUUUCAUUCUCUCUGUAACAGGUUAAUUGGCUCUGUUAUAAACUGAAAUCUUGGUACUCCCAUUUCUGCAACACUGGUCAACUUUGGUUCCUCUUUAACUUGUAAUGGCUUCUGCCUUUGUGUUUUGGAGUGGAUGAAAGUGUGUACAGCUCAUUCAGGCAUCAUAUUUGGACAAAGAUGAUAAAAACUCUUCACAACAAGGGCUCCACAUGUAAUUCCGGUUCAUGUUAACAUCACGGUCACCUCAAAGCUGGUCCAGAAACCAAACGUGUCAUAAUAUCCUUAAAGUCAAGCUCUGUCAGCUGUCUGAUUAUAGCAGCUCUGCUGACUUCCUAAACACUGAAUGCAUAUGCAGUCCAUGAGUACUAUUAUUUAUUCCUCUGCUUAAGAAGAAAGAUCAUCUAAUGCAGAUUGCUUUAAUGUAAGACAAAAGCUGUUGUUUGCAGGUACAUACAGGUCAAUAUGUUGAUCAGUUUUCAAAUAUCAAAGGCUUAUCUCCUUGAACAGCCUCAGACUACUCAUAGCAAUAUUGUACAAUCCUCAAAUGUGCUUUGUUUUAAUGCAAAAGAAUACAUAAACCAAUCUACACAGUAGUCUCAGAAUCUAAGUUUAUUUGCUGGUCCCACAUAUAAAGACAUUAUAUGAAAUGUUAUCUGAUGCAUGAGAGCAAAUAGUAAGUGAAAAUGAGAAGACUCCGUAUGCAAUAUAAACAGUAUCAGAGGUACUGAGCAAAGAAAAUAAGGCAGGCUGAAAAGAAAACUUACAAAAUCCACACAAAACGUACUCUUCACUGAGUCAUUUUGAGAAUAUAAUCAUGGAUAAGCCUUUUGCUGCCACCUGUACAGAAAUCACUGUUGCACACUGUAUUUCAGGAUUGUGAAAGUAAGUAGCCUUAGUUGAACAGAACUUUAUUAAAACUAGGGACCCAAACUUUUCUCAGCAAGUUUUAUCCGUAUUCAUUCCUGCAGACAAGUUUAAUUGCUAUUUAGGGGCAUUCACUUUAAUCUGAAAUAUCACUUAAACUUUGUUCUCCGUUAGGCAGUCUUAAUUAAUCAGUAUAGAAGCUACUCACAAGCUAAACUUAUAAAUACUACAGAACUAGCCUGCAGUAGACCAAAGCAGUUGUUUCAAGGCUCUUGAGAUUACUAGUUUCAUGAGUGUGCUCACAUCAUCCGUCAUCUGUCUUACACUGAGAUCAUCAGCUUGUUCAUGAAAUCUUCAUGGUUUCCUGUACAUCUCAGAGGCAUGCCCUGGAGGACCACUGACACCUGGUGGACAAUUCAGUCCUUCCCAGCAACACCGACAGAUCCUGGAAAGCAAUGAGCACUAGCUGAUGGGCAGCAAUCAAGCUUGGGGGGAAGUAAAACUGCACAGAUUCAUCAAUAAUUAGCCCAUAUUUCAGCACACAGGGCUGCUAGUAUAAACUAGCACAAUCCUGGAAAUGUGUGUUCUUAAAUAGAACUUACACACGUAAAAAAGAAAAAAGGGGGAAAAAAAUCAAAUCUAAAUCUACCCUACAGGGAGCUGUCAUAAAUAUUGAAUAUUACUGUGACUUGAUCAGAGUGUACAGAUGGCCAGCCAUAAGUACAUGCCAGGGAAGCAUUAAGUUACAAGGUCUACCUUGUGUUUGUUAACUAUGUGGAAUUUGUUGGUUACACUUUAAAUGUAGACAAACAGCAAAUACACAAACGUGAAACCCUGUUAAAGCUGUCGGAACAUCAACAGUAUUGUUGGGUUAAAGUUUAAGUAAAGUAAAUCUUUUUGGUGCUCCAAAGUAAUUGGGAGUCCACAACCAUCAGUGUCAGAUAUACAAUGUACUUAGACCUGUUAGCACUGAUUGAGCACCACAAUUUACUCUUUGCUUGCUACAAUUAUCUACAGCUUGUAGAUAUUCUGAGGUUUUCUAACAUCCAGAAAGAACACAGAAAACUUACUAAACAGCUGUAAGAAUUCUCAGCAAUUCCUCACUGCUUUCUCUCUGCAAAAUGAUUCAAAGUCUACCUCCAGGUAGAUGGGCAUUUCUAUCUGUUAAUAAUUACUGAGCAAUGGAAAAUUAUUGGUGUUUUUCUACACCUUCCCUACAAGAUUGUAGCUUUGCAAAAAAAUCUGCAUCUAUUCCCAAACCAAUCUAUAUUUUUCGCUUAUCAACAAUAUGAUAACUCUCUAUAAGUAAAAAGGUAAAAACCUUCAAAUAAAUUACCCAACCAGACUAUCUUAAAUUGUUUUUACAAAAUGCAUUGUUGUGCAUACAUUAUCUAGUUGGCUGUGGAACACUGAGGGCAAACAUUUCCUAGGGGCUCAUGCAAAUGCUAACAUGGCUAAGUCACGUGCAA